rnacentral:rRNA from 1 species
CGCGUAGGUGGUUUUGUAAGUUGGAGGUGAAAUCCCCGGGCUCAACCUGGGAACUGCCUCCAAAACUGCAUGACUAGAGUACGGUAGAGGGUAGUGGAAUUUCCUGUGUAGCGGUGAAAUGCGUAGAUAUAGGAAGGAACACCAGUGGCGAAGGCGACUACCUGGACUGAUACUGACACUGAGGUGCGAAAGCAUGGGGAGGCAAAACA